GAACAAAAGCGAUGCUGACAGCUCCCAGCGCACAGCUAACGCUGAUUAAAGGCCGGCUUGUGUCUUCGGGGGAGGAGGAGGGCGAGAAGGGGCUGGUGCCCAGGGCAGCCUCAGCGCUCCUCCGGCUGACUCAGCCAGAACUACCCCCGCAAGUCUCCGCACGGGGAGGGCCCCAAGCCCUUCUGUGGGUACACGGAGCUUCCUUGGCACACAUGCCAGUCCUACGGCUUGUAGGUCUGGUGCCUCCAGGAGCAGCCCUGGGAUGGGCCGGAGCGGGACAAGAUGAGGCAGGCAGGGAAAGAGAUGCUCCUGCCCAGGCUGUGCACAGCAGGUAUCCCAGCUGGGACACAUUUGCUUGCUGGAGUAGUCUGCAAAAGAAAUUGCUAUAGGCAUGAAUAUUUAAAUUUCCUUCCAAUGGGUAUCAAGCCAAAUUCCACAUCUCAGUUCCAGGGUGAAUCAGGAUGAUCAGACACGCUGCUUCACAGAACAGAAACGCAGAGGGCAGGUUUCUCUGUGGCGUAUCUUGGGCCGUAUCCCAGCUUGCAUAGCCAUAUCAACCAAAUGCAUCCACAGAGCCCGGCAAAUUUCUGAGAGGAUACCAGACACAGAGAUGCUGUGCCCCUGCUGCUGUGAACAGCUUGACUUACUUUGCAGCAGUUUGGCCCCUCUGGAAAUCUGAGCCUUGGAGUCAUGGCAAUAAACACGCCUUUCUUCACAUGACAGCCUUUAAAAGGAUUCAGGUACCAGAUACCAUUUCCAGGAUGCUGCCAGGUGCUGUGGAGAAAGCAUGGCAAAGCAGCAAGUUCAUAAGAAAGAGGUGCCUGAUGUCUUCAGAAAUUUGGUCGGCUGCCAUAAGAAUAGCUAUGGUGGCUACAGCUACUGAAAGAGGAUGAAAAUAGAGCAGAAAAACAGAGGUUCCUUUUUUGAGUCUGGGGUAUUGUUUUUCCUCCUUGAGCUAGAGUGGUGGAGUGCCAGGGGCAGAGAUCACCUCCACAUUCAAGGGCAGCUUUCCAUCACCCUUUGCAUGCUGCAGCUUGGAGCUCAACCAUUCCCCAGCCCUACCCCAUCCCUUAGUUUCCCCUAUCUCUCUGCAGGAUGUGGAAUCCUGACUAAUGCACUGGCAAGGGGCUUUUUCAAGAGAAGGCAGGGGGACAGAUACCUCAGAGCUGCUGUCCUGCUCCUGACUCCAUGGGCACACCUUUCUGGGGCUGAGUGAUCAUCUAAAUCAAUGGGAUGACCAAAUCCCACAUAAUCUGUUUGUUCAAUAAGCUGAUUUGGAUAAGGAAAAUCAAAGUUUCAGAGCAGACUUUUGGGGACAAUCCAGCCCAAACAUGGAUCAAUAAACUUUUCCCCCUGCUUUAAACUUUCUUAAAGUACAUUCAGCACUCAGUCAGUAGUACCUUAGAAACUCUCACUAUCUGCCAAUGCUCAUAAGGACAAAAAACAACAACAAAAGGCAAUAUACAGAGGGAUGACUUAAGAGAGUUUGGAAAUUGCUUCCCAUAUUAAACACUCCUUUAGUCACAGUCACAAAAAAGCAUCAAAAUUCCCUGCCUCUGAUGUAAACAACAGAAAGAAAAAGUCAUCUGGAAGGACAGGAUGAUUCAUACCGAGGACCUGACUCGUAAUAUUCAUCAGUGUUGAAAUUGCCUCUGCAAGAUGACUGCAUGUGAAAAUGGCAUCAGCGAAAUCCCAGCUUCUGCCACGAGAAGUAUCAUUAGCAGCAAAGUGGUGUGGUGAGACUCCAGUGGCACAACCCUUGCUCCGAUGAGGGUUGCGUGCCACUGAGGGAUCUCCCAGAGGAAGAGGAGCUGAGCCCAUUAUGUGACUUUCCCGUCCUCCCUAGGAACUUUCUCAGCCCCUUGGCAGAGGGGGACACUGGCAGGAGCAGCCCUCCUUCAGCUCUGUGGGUGGGCCAGGCUGGGACUCUGAGUUGAGGCAAGCAGAUGCAGUGGUCCUCUGGAUGAGGCAGGAGUGAGCUGUCAGCUGCAGGGCUGCUUGACCUCACAUGAAGCGGUGCAGUGCAUCAUCACCUCAGGCCAAAUGCUGCUCUAGUGAAAAUGCAGUGACUUGGCAGAGCUGCCCCCAGCGGGAACUAUGAUUCCCCUGCCAGAUCACUGGCUUACUGAGGCUGGCAGGGGUGAAUGAAUCUAGGUUUAGAUGUGCCUGUCUUCUUCUUUUCCCAGCUCUCUCUCCAUUUGAAUCACCAUCCUGGUUCAUGAGCAUGGUGCAGUCCCAGGGUAAGGUUCUCACAAUCCCAGAGAACAUUUGUGGAGCCAUAAACUUGACAGCAAUGGCUUCAAAUGGAAUGUAGGCCCCCAUACUGAAGUAGGCAUGGGAAUAUGUUCCUCACCUCAUGCCUGCAUUGCAUGUACCUGUUUUUGAGAUUGUAAUAAAAACUCCUAUUUUAUUUACACACA